GUGUGGUGUAGUGGUUUGAGCAUUGGACUAUGACUCUGGAGACCAGGGUUCAAAUCCCAGCUAAUCCA